GACAACGGAGACUGUGUCACUGACUUCUCAAGUAUUGUUUUAGAGUAAUUUGCGGGUGGGACUGGGGGGUGGGGGAGGUGAGCAAGGGACCUUGGACCUGUCAUUGCUCCAGUGCUCAUGUCGCAGGGUCCAGAGUCUGGCUCCCACCUUCAAGGAGGCCUCCUUUCCAGAGGAGGGCACAACCUCCCCAACAGAGGUAAGAGGGCCUGUUCUUCCUCGAUCCUAACAAACACUUCCCACUUGAUUGGCAUUUCUAAUUAACUGCCAUCUCCCCGCCUUGACUGAGUUCCCCAGGGGCCCUGGCCUUGUUCACCACUGUGUGCUCUCACACAAGGGCUGCCCAAGUCAUUCAUACAGGCAACCAAUACUUAAUGAAAACCUGUCUUUUCCAGGUGCCAUGGUGUGGUGGUGGAACAGAUACCGUCACUGUGUUAAGUGAAGAACCAGUACCAGCUCCAUUUAUGAAGCUAUUUUUAAAGAUGACUCACAAUGGAGAUGAGGGGAAACCACCAAUAAAAGGCGCAAACAGCAACCAGGUAAAAAAUAAAUUCUGGCACGCUACGUUUCAUAGGCGUGUAUCAAGACAUGACCUCUGUGUUCUUCAGCUACCUAGGCUGGUACAGGAUGGCAAGCUUUAAGGUGCCGUCUCGUAAAUAUGACUGUGGUGGCCAGUUGUAGCUUAAAAUAGCAAAAUGGAAAAAAAAAAUCAGUCUUGCUUUUCAAGACUGACUGGGACAGGUGUAACAAAAGAAGCUGUGGCGUCUUGACUGGAAGAAACUUUCAGGCAGUUAGAAAAUAAAGUGCAGGCAGUCAAAACGUGGAAAGAACUUCUCCCUCGAGAAACGUUUUCAUUUUUUUUUUCUUGAACAGACUAUCACUCAUUUAAAAUUAUGAAUUUUCUGAAGUUAGUACAGUUUGUGUUAAACCUACACUUUUCCAAAAACAUGCAAAGAGCAAAGUUUAAUUAGUAUGUAUUCAUUGUAUGUGUGUGUGGUUCAAACCUGAUUUAACAAGGACACCUCAGGUUUUCCAACAAUUACAAAAAAAAAAAAAAAAAAAAAAAAAAAAA